rnacentral:rRNA from 1 species
GAUGAACGCUGGCGGCGUGCUUAACACAUGCAAGUCGAACGGUGAAGCAGAGCUUGCUCUGUGGUUCAGUGGCGAACGGGUGAGUAACACGUGAGCACCCUGCCCCUUACUCUGGGAUAAGCGCUGGCAACGGCGUCUAUUACUUGAUAUCAGCUGCGACCUCCUGGUCAGCAGUUGGAAAGAUUUUUCGGUCUGGGAUUGGCUCACGGCCUAUCAGCUUGUUGGUGUGGUAAUGGCUCACCAAGGCGUCGCCGGGUAGCCGGCCUGGGAGGGUGACCGGCGACAAUGGGACUGAGACACGGACCAGACUCCUACGGGAGGCAGCAGUGGGGAAUAUUGCACAAUGGGCGAAAGCCUGAUGCAGCAACGCCGCGUGAGGGAUGACGGCCUUCGGGUUGUAAACCGCUGUUAGCAGGGAAGAAGCGAAAGUGACGGUACCUGCAGAAAAAGCGCCGGCUAACUACGUG